UACGGAGGAUCCGAGCGUUAUCCGGAUUUAUUGGGUUUAAAGGGUGCGCAGGCGGGAGAUUAAGUCGGCGGUGAAAUUUUGCAGCUCAACUGUAAAAGUGCCUUCGAAACUGGUUUCCUUGAGUGUAGAUGAAGUAGGCGGAAUUUGUGGUGUAGCGGUGAAAUGCUUAGAUAUCACGAGGAACUCCGAUUGCGCAGGCAGCUUACUAAACUACUACUGACGCUCAUGCACGAAGGCGUGGGGAUCAAACAGGAUUAGAUACCCUUGUAGU
rnacentral:rRNA from 1 species